rnacentral:rRNA from 1 species
UACGUAGGGCGCAAGCGUUAUCCGGAAUUAUUGGGCGUAAAGAGCUCGUAGGCGGUUUGUUGCGUCGGCUGUGAAAUCCCGAGGCUCAACCUCGGGUCUGCAGUCGAUACGAGCAAACUAGAGUGUUGCAGGGGAGACUGGAAUUCCUGGUGUAGCGGUGAAAUGCGCAGAUAUCAGGAAGAACACCCGUGGCGAAGGCGGCUCUCUGGGACGGUACUGACGCUGAGACGCGAAAGCGUGGGGAGCGAACAGG